CCUACGGGAGGCAGCAGUGGGGAAUAUUGGACAAUGGGGGGAACCCUGAUCCAGCGACGCCGCGUGAGUGAAGAAGGAUUUCGGGAUGUAAAGCUCUAUCAGCAGGGAAGAAAGAAAUGACGGUACCUGACUAAGAAGCCCCGGCUAACUACGGGCCAGCAGCCGCGGUAAUACGUAGGGGGCAAGCGUUAUCCGGAUUUACUGGGUGUAAAGGGAGCGUAGACGGCGAGGCCAGUCUGAAGUGAAAGGCGGGGGCCCAACCCCCGGACUGCUUUGGAAACGGUAUGGCUGGAGUGCAGGAGAGGUAAGUGGACUUCCUCGUGUAGCGGUGACAUGCUUAGAUAUUAGGCG
rnacentral:rRNA from 1 species